UGAAAGGAGAGAAGAGAAGGAAAUCCAAAACAAAACAAACCCCACCCCACCCAAUCCAACCAGGCCCGCAGCCGCUUGUGUCUUCUCCACCCAACUCCUCUCUCUAUCUUCCCGGAGCCAAAGCCAGCCGCCGCCGCCUUCCGCAACCUCGGCCUCCACAGCACCGCCGCGCUUGCGACCGCCCCUCCUUCUCCCCUUGGACGCGGAUCCGCUCGAGCUGCUCACCCCGUGGUCGGAUGCGCGCUCCCUCCCUCCCUCCCUCCUCGCGCAGUAAACCCUAGCCGCCGGCCAUGGCGACUGACGGUGCUAUGGUGAGCUAGCAGCUACAGCUAACAGCCAAUGCAAGGGUUCUCCGGCGAGGUCUGCUCCUUCUCCACCAGUAGAGAAAGAGAAGGGGCCCUCCUUCUCUCGCUGCUUCGACCAUGCCAGCGCCGACGCCAUGGAAGGCCCCCCUCCCCCUCUCCUCUCUCUCUCUUUCUCUGUUCGGCUCCCUCGCUGUUCUAGGACGCCAUGGACUCAUUUUUUUUGUUCUUUCUCCCCUUUCUAUUUGAACAUGAGCAGCGUCAACCAUCUAUAUAUGUGUCUCACAUGUUGUAUCUUCUUGUUGCUGCGAUUUAAACAUGAGCAUGAGUCAGAUCCUUGUAAUUAGGUGUAUCCUUGCACAGUUAUAUGUUAGUCAGAUUAGGUGCCUGCAAGUCUGGUGCCAUGUGUCAAA